rnacentral:rRNA from 1 species
UAGCGUAUGCUAAAGUUGUUGCAGUUAAAAGGCUCGUAGUCGAACUUAUGACCUGGAGUAACCUGGCCUAUCGUCUAGUACGUUACGCGCCGGUGUGCACGGGUCAUUAACUAACUAAGUGAUCGUGGCUACCCUUGAUUGGGUCGGCCGUCGAAAUAUCUGGUUCAUUUACUGUGAGUAAAUCAAAGUGUUCAAAGCAGGCUUUAAUGCUUGUAUGGUUCAGCAUGGAAUAACAAUAUAAGACUUCGGUUUUGUAUCGUUGGCUUUCAAAACCAAAGUAAUGAUUGAAAGGGAUAGUUGGGGGUGCUAGUAUUCAGUGGUCAGCGGUGAAAUGCGAGGGCCCAUUGAAGACUAACUUAUGCGAAAGCAUUCACCAAGGAUAUCUUCUUUGAUCAAGAACGAAAGUUGGGGGAUCGAAGACGAUCAGAUACCGUCGUAGUCUCAACCAUAAACUAUGCCAACUGAAGAUUGGCAGUCGUUGUCCAUUGACCCUGUCAGAAUUCUAUGAGAAAUCAAAGUCUCUGGGUUCUGGGGGGAGUAUGGUCGCAA